rnacentral:lncRNA from 1 species
AUUGGAUUGAAGUCAGGGACCCCUAUGGAGAAAUGAGGGAAAUGACUGAAGCAGGACAAUCUCAUAGGAAGACCAGCAAACUCAACUAACCCAGACCCCUGGGAGCUCCGGGAGACUGAGCCACCAACCAGGUAGGAUACAUGGGCUUGUCCGAGGCCCACCCAGCACACAUUUAGCAGAUGACUGCCUCGUCUGGCCUCAGUGAGAGAAGAUGUGCCUAAUCCUCAAGAGACUUGAGGCCCCAGAGAAGGAGGAUACCAGGGUAGGGAGUACCCUCUUGGAGAGCAACCAUCAUUGCUAAAUGCUGGUCAAUUUCUGGUUGGUUGGCAGAUUCUCCUUCGCCUCUGAGAGGAUCGUGCAUCAACUUCAGUUCACUUUCCCAAGAUUUGCUGGAGUUUUUGUUCUGUGCAGCAAGAUUCACUGCGGGAGGAUCAAUGACUGAGCCUGGGAAAAGCUGGGCAAGCUCAGCAUUAAUCACAACAGAAACAGCUUCGUUGGGCGGAGUAAGGGGUGGAGUCAUAAAAAGUGGUGUUGUUUUUGGAGUGGGGGGAAUAACAUCAGAUGGAUGGAUGAAGAAUCCAGGAGCAGCCACUGGGUUGGAAGACACAGCAUUGUGAACAGGACCUGCUGCUGCUGCUGCUGCUGCUGAUGCAGCGGCUGCUGCUGCCGCUGUUGUCUGAUGCAGCUUGGCUUCCAGCUUUGCUUUCUGUAAAAGUAAAAGCAAUGCCUGUAGAAGAAUCCUGAAGACAGUGUGAGGACACUGAUGCUCAUAUAUGACAAACUUAAACGAGAUUAGUAAGAUUCUGCGUACACGAGACAAAACUGGACUCAAGCAAACGAGUUCAACGUUAACUGACAGGAUACAAUUUCUCAAGCAGAGUUUGCACAGGUUGCAUUUUGUCAGCAAUUAAAUCGAUAAACCAUGUUAUCAUAAUUGCUGUACUUAUAAUCAAACUAAUGUCCUACAAUUUAUAAUGUCCAACAGUCUCUGUUCCAUGAAAACAGUAACUGAUAACAAUAUAAUGUUUCUCCAAAAGUUUUUAAACAUAAAAGUACAAGUGACUUCAAGGCUACUCAAAAAGUAUCUUUUUUUUUCUCAAUCACAUCCUAAAUAAAAUGCAGUCAUAUAAUAAUACAUUUAAACAUAUCACAAAGGCAUUACCUCAAUUUUUUGUUGAAAACGAUUAGCUCAGAUUGGACAACCUACUUUUCUUUCUGAAAACAAUGGUCAUUUUUACAGUACUUUUCAGCUUUUGAAGUUUAGAGACAGCAUGAACAAAGAGCCAAAUAGUCUCCAACCUGUUGCUGAAGCUUCAAAAGCUGCUGCUGUUUCUCUUGCAGCACCUGCAGCUGUUGCUCGGCUGAAGCCAUUGCAUGAGAGAGAGACUGCAAAGCUACCUGGGCUGCUGAACUCAGGGCUGUCGAGGCUUCCCCAACUGUGCCAGAUGAUAGGCCACCUACUGCAGGAGGAACCCCGAAGGAACUCACUGGCAUGAGACAAGGGAAAGACAAAACAAGACACCAGGAUGAAGAAAAGACCAUGGAGCAUGUGUGGAAGUACUUGUGGAGUCUGCUGGCUCUUUUCACCAACAGAGGUCUCAGAGACGAACUUAGGGCAUCAGCAUUGGCAGUAAGCAUCAACUACCUACUGAACCACCCUGGCCGCCUGGUCUGAACUUUCUAAAUGGAAUCAGUUCUUUUUCUUUUCUAAAAUUAUAAAUCUCUGUAUCUCUCAGGGC